UAACAGUCCACAAUCUUGCCAUGGUUGCA
rnacentral:piRNA from 1 species